rnacentral:rRNA from 1 species
GCGGUGGAGUAUGUGGUUUAAUUCGAUGCAACGCGAAGAACCUUACCUGGUCUUGACAUCCCGGAGACCCUUAGGAAACUAGGGGUGCUUCCAUCUGGAAGAAUCUGGAGACAGGUGCUGCAUGGCUGUCGUCAGCUCGUGUCGUGAGAUGUUGGGGUUAAGUCCCGCAACGAGCGCAACCCUUGCCUUUAGUUGCCAGCAGUUCGGCUGGGCACUCUAAAGGGACUGCCGGUGUUAAACCGGAGGAAGGUGGGGAUGACGUCAAGUCCUCAUGGCCUUUAUGACCAGGGCUACACACGUACUACAAUGGCCGAUACAAAGGGCAGCGACACUGCGAGGUGAAGCCAAUCCCGUAAAAUCGGUCUCAGUCCGGAUUGGAGUCUGCAACUCGACUCCAUGAAGUUGGAAUCGCUAGUAAUCGUGGAUCAGCAUGCCACGGUGAAUACGUUCCCGGGCCUU